rfam:Aedes aegypti strain Liverpool supercont1.228 genomic scaffold, whole genome shotgun sequence.
CCUUUGGCCCUUUUCAGGGCCACCAAAUGUGCGUAAAAGUGUAAAU